GAUGAACGCUAGCGGCAGGCCUAACACAUGCAAGUCGAGGGGCAGCACGAUUGAGCUUGCUUAAUUGGUGGCGACCGGCGCACGGGUGCGUAACGCGUAUGCAACCUACCUUAUACUGGGGUAUAGCCCGGAGAAAUUCGGAUUAAUCCCCCAUAGUAUCAUUGAUUCGCAUGUUUUGAUAAUUAAAGGUUACGGUAUAA
rnacentral:rRNA from 1 species